rnacentral:rRNA from 1 species
UAGCCUACGGGGGGCAGCAGUGAGGAAUAUUGGUCAAUGGGCGGGAGCCUGAACCAGCCAAGCCGCGUGAGGGAAGAAGGUACAGCGUAUCGUAAACCUCUUUUGUCAGGGAACCCAGGCGGGGACUAGUCCCCGGAUGAGGGUCCCUGCCGAAAACGCCUCGGCUAACUCCGUGCCCGCAGCCGCGGUAAUCCGGAGGCUGCGAGCGUUAUCCGGCUUUAUUGGGUUUCAAGGGUGCGC